rnacentral:rRNA from 1 species
UACGAAGGGGGCUAGCGUUGCUCGGAAUCACUGGGCGUAAAGGGUGCGUAGGCGGGUCUUUAAGUCAGGGGUGAAAUCCUGGAGCUCAACUCCAGAACUGCCUUUGAUACUGAGGAUCUUGAGUUCGGGAGAGGUGAGUGGAACUGCGAGUGUAGAGGUGAAAUUCGUAGAUAUUCGCAAGAACACCAAUGGCGAAGGCGACUCACUGGCCCGAUACUGACGCUGAGGCACGAAAGCGUGGGGAGCAAACAGG